rnacentral:rRNA from 1 species
AGUGAACGCUGGCGGUAGGCCUAACACGUGCAAGUCGAACGGCAGCACAGUAAGAGCUUGCUCUUACGGGUGGCGAGUGGCGGACGGGUGAGGAAUACAUCGGAAUCUACUUUUUCGUGGGGGAUAACGUAGGGAAACUUACGCUAAUACCGCAUACGACCUACGGGUGAAAGCAGGGGAUCUUCGGACCUUGCGCGAUUGAAUGAGCCGAUGUCGGAUUAGCUAGUUGGCGGGGUAAAGGCCCACCAAGGCGACGAUCCGUAGCUGGUCUGAGAGGAUGAUCAGCCACACUGGAACUGAGACACGGUCCAGACUCCUACGGGAGGCAGCAGUGGGGAAUAUUGGACAAUGGGCGCAAGCCUGAUCCAGCCAUACCGCGUGGGUGAAGAAGGCCUUCGGGUUGUUAAGCCCUUUUGUUGGGAAAGAAAAGCAGCAGGUUAAUACCCCGCUGUUCUGACGGUACCCAAAGAAUAAGCACCGGCUAACUUCGUG